rnacentral:rRNA from 1 species
UACGGGGGGGGCAAGCGUUGUUCGGAAUUACUGGGCGUAAAGCGCGUGUAGGCGGCUUUGCAAGUCGGGUGUGAAAGCCCUCAGCUCAACUGAGGAAGUGCGCCCGAAACUGCAGAGCUUGAGUACCGGAGAGGAUGGCGGAAUUCCCCAAGUAGAGGUGAAAUUCGUAGAUAUGGGGAGGAACACCGGUGGCGAAGGCGGCCAUCUGGACGGAUACUGACGCUGAGACGCGAAAGCGUGGGGAGCAAACAGG